UUUUAAUCUGUUAAAUUUUGAGAUUCUAGAAUCAUGUUUCACCUAAAAUUGUUACUAUUUAUCAAAAUAUGAUACACUUUAAAUUAUUAUUCAUGGAAACUUUUUUAUAAGUUGAAUGUUACUUUAGUGCAGUUAAUUCUUAUGGUGUUACUUGAAUUUAAAGGGUUAAUGUUUUAGCGUGAAGAAUUUAUUUUGGAUUUGAUGAAUAAAAAAA
rnacentral:misc_RNA from 1 species